AUGACUAACCCUACUACUAAUAGCCUUUAUGAGUCUUGUGGUGAUGCAGCAAAAAUUCGUGAAGAAAUCGUCGCAAAUGGUGAAGAAAAUACGGCAGCAGAUCCAUAUUUUAUGUGCCCUGAGCUGGGGAGCAAAUCUCCCUCGGGAUCUGCCCAGGUGCUGCCGUGCAGCGAAUCCCCCUCGGGAUCGGUGCCUUGCAGCGAAUCUGCUGCGACAGCCGCAGGUGGGCGCGCUGAAUCGGAUGGCCACGGUGACUCCCCUCGUCCGCACCAAUCACCGUCCAGCAGAUGGCAGGCUGGCGCUGGCCUUGAGGCCCAACCAGUCGUCUACAAGCGGCGGGCAGCGACUCGCCGGGCUGAGGCGGGGACAGAUCCUGACGAGGCCGGGCCCGGGCAAUCACGAGGCAAUGAUGAUGCGGCUCGGCCCAGAUCUUCUGGCUCUGUAGCGGCUCCUGCUACUGCUCCACGUCGCACACGGCUACAGCAAGGCAAAAUUAAACCUAUUGAUUAUAAACAUAUUACAAAACAUGGAAUGAUUUGUUCAACAGGUGAACCAGGAGAACCCAACACUCUUGAAGAAGCACUUGGAGAUGCUAAUUGGAGAAAGGCAAUGCAUGAUGAAAUUGUGGCACUAAGGAAAAAUAAAACAUGGCACUUGGUCCCUUCAAGAAAAGGUAAAAAUCUUAUUGACUGUAAGUGGGUCUUUAGGAUAAAAAGAAAAGCUGAUGGAACCAUUGAUCAUUACAAAGCUAGACUCGUUGCAAAGGGGUUCAAACAAAGGUAUGGUAUUGACUAUGAGGACACAUUUAGUCCGGUUGUUAAAGCUGCUACCAUACGCCUUGUCUUGUCCAUUGUUGUGUCUAGGGGAUGGAGUCUACGACAGCUAGAUGUUCAGAACGCGUUCCUCCAUGGUGUUCUGGAAGAAGAGGUUUACAUGAAACAACCUCCUGGGUUUGUAAAUGCACAGGCACCACUUCAUGUGUGCAAACUUGACAAGGCCUUGUAUGGGUUGAAACAGGCUCCAAGAGCAUGGUAUUCUCGCCUCAGUAAAAAGAUGCAAACACUUGGUUUUGUUCCUUCAAAGUCUGACACUUCGUUAUUUAUCUAUAACAAGUCAAGAAUAUCCAUAUUUGUUCUCAUUUAUGUUGAUGAUAUAAUUGUAACAAGUUCAUCUGAUGAAGCAAUAACAGCAUUGUUGAAGGAUUUAAGUGCAGAGUUUGCUCUAAAGGAUCUAGGAGAUCUACACUACUUUCUUGGUAUUGAGGUCAAACAACACAAGAAUGGUCUUCACCUCUCUCAAGAAAAGUAUGCAACAGACUUGGUAAAAAUUGCAAAGUUGUAA
rnacentral:rRNA from 1 species